rnacentral:rRNA from 1 species
CAGCCGCCGCGGGAAUACGAAGGGGGCUAGCGUUGCUCGGAAUGACUGGGCGUAAAGGGCGCGUAGGCGGCGAUCAAAGUCAGGCGUGAAAUUCCUGGGCUCAACCUGGGGGCUGCGCUUGAUACUUGGUUGCUUGAGUGGGGAAGAGGGUCGUGGAAUUCCCAGUGUAGAGGUGAAAUUCGUAGAUAUUCGCAAGAACACCAGUGGCGAAGGCGGCUCACUGGCUCGAAACUGACGCUGAGGCACGAAAGCGUGGGGAGCAAACAGGAUUAGAUACCCGAGUAGUCCCUGUCUCUUAUAC